rnacentral:lncRNA from 1 species
AGAUUUGUAAUAGUAAGGUGGUGGAGGGGAAUGUGAGGGGGGUGGGGGGGAUUUGUAAUAAUAAGGAGGUGGAGGUGAUGGGGAUGGAGGAGGUGGUGACUUGUACACAUAUGUUGGAGCCUUGUGCUCAUAAGAUGGUGGUGGAGGUGAUUUAUACUCAUAGGGUGGUGGGGGUGAUGGUGAAGGAGGUGGGGGAGACUUAUAUUCAUAAGAUGGAGACUUGUGCUCAUAGGGUGGAGGUGGUGGAGAUUUGUAAAUGUAAGAUGGUGGAGGUGACGGUGAGGGAGGCGGUGGUGACUUGUAAAUGUAAGGUGGUGGUGGUGAUGGUGAUGGUGGUGGGGGUGACUUGUACUGGUAAGAUGGAGCCUUGUGCUCAUAUGGUGGUGGAGGUGACGGUGAUGGAGGUGGUGGUGACUUGUAAAUGUAAGGUGGUGGAGGUGAUGGUGAUGGAGGUGGGGGUGACUUGUACUGGUAAGAUGGUGCCUUGUGCUCAUAUGGAGGCGGUGGUGACGGUGAUGGAGGCGGUGGUGACUUGUACACAUAAG